rnacentral:rRNA from 1 species
GAGUUUGAUCGUGGCUCAGAUUGAACGCUGGCGGCAUGCCUUACACAUGCAAGUCGAACGGUAACAGGUCUUCGGAUGCUGACGAGUGGCGAACGGGUGAGUAAUACAUCGGAACGUGCCCGAUCGUGGGGGAUAACGAAGCGAAAGCUUUGCUAAUACCGCAUACGAUCUACGGAUGAAGGCAGGGGACCGCAAGGCCUUGCGCGAACGGAGCGGCCGAUGGCAGAUUAGGUAGUUGGUGGGAUAAAAGCUUACCAAGCCGACGAUCUGUAGCUGGUCUGAGAGGACGACCAGCCACACUGGGACUGAGGCACGGCCCAGACUCCUACGGGAGGCAGCAGUGGGGAAUUUUGGACAAUGGGCGAAAGCCUGAUCCAGCCAUGCCGCGUGCAGGAUGAAGGCCUCGGUUG